rnacentral:rRNA from 1 species
GACGAAUGCUGGCUGCGUGCUAAACACAUGCAAGUCGAACGGUGAAGGGGAGCUUGCUCCCCGGAUCAGUGGCGAACGGGUGAGUAACACGUGGGCAACCUGCCCCUCACUCUGGGAUAACUCCGGGAAACCGGGGCUAAUACCGGAUACGACCGGGAGCGACAUCGCUCCUGGUGGAAAGAACUUCGGUGAGGGAUGGGCCCGCGGCCUAUCAGCUAGUUGGUGGGGUAACGGCCCACCAAGGCGACGACGGGUAGCCGGCCUGAGAGGGCGACCGGCCACACUGGGACUGAGACACGGCCCAGACUCCUACGGGAGGCAGCAGUGGGGAAUAUUGCGCAAUGGGCGAAAGCCUGACGCAGCGACGCAGCGUGAGGGACGAAGGCCUUCGGGUUGUAAACCUCUUUCAGCGGGGAUGAAGCGAAAGUGACGGUACCCGCAGAAGAAGCACCGGCUAACUACGUGCCAGCCGCCGCGGUAA